rnacentral:lncRNA from 1 species
AGGCCCUUUUUUGUUCCAAUUUCUACUCAAAUGAAGCAUUUUUUUAAAUAAGCUUAUUAGUGAGGCAACAAUGUGUGCAAAUUUCCAAACAAAACAAUGAUAAUAUUUAUCAAGGUCUAAAAAUGAAUAAACUUAAAAAAACAUCUUUAUGAGUUGGCCAAUCUUUUACUACUUUCACCUUAUCCUAUUCCAUGUGCAUAUCUUUAGAAGAUACUAUAUGCCUCCAAAAAAUGACCUCUGCCUUCCAAAGUUCAUACUUUGAUUACUUCUAAUAGAAGCAA